UACGUAGGGCGGCAAGCGUUGUCCGGAAUUAUUGGGCGUAAAGAGCUCGUAGGCGGCCUGUUGCGUCCGCUGUGAAAUCCCGGGGCUCAACCCCGGGCCUGCAGUGGAUACGGGCUGGCUAGAGGCAGGCAGGGGAGAACGGAAGUUCCUGGUGUAGCGGUGAAAUGCGCAGAUAUCAGGAGGAACACCGGUGGCGAAGGCGGUUCUCUGGGCCUGUACUGACGCUGAGGAGCGAAAGCGUGGGGAGCGAACAGG
rnacentral:rRNA from 1 species